rnacentral:rRNA from 1 species
UACAGAGGGUGCGAGCGUUGUUCGGAAUUAUUGGGCGUAAAGGGCGCGUAGGCGGCGCCACAAGUCACUUGUGAAAACUCUGGGCUCAACCCAGAGCCUGCAGGCGAAACUGUGGUGCUGGAGUAUGGGAGAGGUGCGUGGAAUUCCCGGUGUAGCGGUGAAUGCGCAGAUAUCAGGAGGAACACCGGUGGCGAAGGCGGGUCUCUGGGCCGUUACUGACGCUGGAGGAGCGAAAGCGUGGGGAGCGAACAGG